rnacentral:misc_RNA from 1 species
AAGUCGUAACAAGGUUUCCGUAGGUGAACCUGCGGAAGGAUCAUUAAAGAGUAAGGGUCCUCUAGGCCCGACCUCCCAACCCUUUGUUUACCAAACCAAUGUUGCUUCGGCGGGCCCGUCUUAGGACCGCCGGAGGACCGUCGAAACGUCCUCUGGCCCGCGCCCGUCGAUGGCCCUUAUUAUUAAACUCUGAACCAAACGUGUCCUGUCUGAGUGAUUAUUAUCAAAAUUAAAGCAAAAACUUUCAACAACGGAUCUCUUGGUUCUG